AACGAACGCUGGCGGCAUGCCUAACACAUGCAAGUCGAACGAGACCUUCGGGUCUAGUGGCGCACGGGUGCGUAACGCGUGGGAACCUGCCCUUAGGUUCGGAAUAACUCCCCGAAAGGGGUGCUAAUACCGGAUAAUGUCUUCGGACCAAAGAUUUAUCGCCUUUGGAUGGGCCCGCGUUGGAUUAGCUAGUUGGUAGGGUAAAAGCCUACCAAGGCGACGAUCCAUAGCUGGUCUGAGAGGAUGAUCAGCCACACUGGGACUGAGACACGGCCCAGACUCCUACGGGAGGCAGCAGUGGGGAAUAUUGGACAAUGGGCGAAAGCCUGAUCCAGCAAUGCCGCGUGAGUGAUGAAGGCCUUAGGGUUGUAAAGCUCUUUUACCCGGGAUGAUAAUGACAGUACCGGGAGAAUAAGCGCCAGCUAACUCCGUG
rnacentral:rRNA from 1 species